AUGGACAAAUCCAUCCCUUUUUCCCGUUCAUAUGCAUCAAACUCGAAUGAUGAUGGUCGCGAUGAAGAAGUUGAUGAGGAGGGGUUCAUGGCGAAGGAGGCCGAAGCAUUUAAGAAGGUAUUCCGGCGGGAUCACAAGACACCAUUGUUCAAGGAUCAUAGUCCCGCGGAUGAAGCCGUUGUAGAUGGUGGCAAAUGUAUAUCUCUUGGAGCUAGGCCAAGUUCUCACUAUGAUUUGGAAGACGGCAAGAAUGGGAUAUAUCCUGGUUGUGAGUUUGGAUCCUUCUUGGAAUUAAAGAUGUGGCUCGACAACUACUCAGUUAUGCAUUAUCGUCCACAUAGAGUGGCCAGCUCGGACGUCAAUAUGCGUUACACGGUUAAAUGUGAAGUGCCAUGA
rnacentral:rRNA from 1 species